rnacentral:rRNA from 2 species
UUAAGCGACUAAGCGUACACGGUGGAUGCCCUGGCAGUCAGAGGCGAUGAAGGACGUGCUAAUCUGCGAUAAGCGUCGGUGAGGUGAUAUGAACCGUUAUAACCGGCGAUUUCCGAAUGGGGAAACCCAGUGUGUUUCGACACACUAUCAUUAACUGAAUCCAUAGGUUAAUGAGGCGAACCGGGGGAACUGAAACAUCUAAGUACCCCGAGGAAAAGAAAUCAACCGAGAUUCCCCCAGUAGCGGCGAGCGAACGGGGAGGAGCCCAGAGCCUGAAUCAGUGUGUGUGUUAGUGGAAGCGUCUGGAAAGGCGCGCGAUACAGGGUGACAGCCCCGUACACAAAAAUGCACAUAUUGUGAGCUCGAUGAGUAGGGCGGGACACGUGGUAUCCUGUCUGAAUAUGGGGGGACCAUCCUCCAAGGCUAAAUACUCCUGACUGACCGAUAGUGAACCAGUACCGUGAGGGAAAGGCGAAAAGAACCCCGGCGAGGGGAGUGAAAAAGAACCUGAAACCGUGUACGUACAAGCAGUGGGAGCCUCUUUAUGGGGUGACUGCGUACCUUUUGUAUAAUGGGUCAGCGACUUAUAUUCUGUAGCAAGGUUAACCGAAUAGGGGAGCCGAAGGGAAACCGAGUCUUAACUGGGCGUUAAGUUGCAGGGUAUAGACCCGAAACCCGGUGAUCUAGCCAUGGGCAGGUUGAAGGUUGGGUAACACUAACUGGAGGACCGAACCGACUAAUGUUGAAAAAUUAGCGGAUGACUUGUGGCUGGGGGUGAAAGGCCAAUCAAACCGGGAGAUAGCUGGUUCUCCCCGAAAGCUAUUUAGGUAGCGCCUCGUGAAUUCAUCUCCGGGGGUAGAGCACUGUUUCGGCAAGGGGGUCAUCCCGACUUACCAACCCGAUGCAAACUGCGAAUACCGGAGAAUGUUAUCACGGGAGACACACGGCGGGUGCUAACGUCCGUCGUGAAGAGGGAAACAACCCAGACCGCCAGCUAAGGUCCCAAAGUCAUGGUUAAGUGGGAAACGAUGUGGGAAGGCCCAGACAGCCAGGAUGUUGGCUUAGAAGCAGCCAUCAUUUAAAGAAAGCGUAAUAGCUCACUGGUCGAGUCGGCCUGCGCGGAAGAUGUAACGGGGCUAAACCAUGCACCGAAGCUGCGGCAGCGACACUAUGUGUUGUUGGGUAGGGGAGCGUUCUGUAAGCCUGUGAAGGUGGCCUGUGAGGGUUGCUGGAGGUAUCAGAAGUGCGAAUGCUGACAUAAGUAACGAUAAAGCGGGUGAAAAGCCCGCUCGCCGGAAGACCAAGGGUUCCUGUCCAACGUUAAUCGGGGCAGGGUGAGUCGACCCCUAAGGCGAGGCCGAAAGGCGUAGUCGAUGGGAAACAGGUUAAUAUUCCUGUACUUGGUGUUACUGCGAAGGGGGGACGGAGAAGGCUAUGUUGGCCGGGCGACGGUUGUCCCGGUUUAAGCGUGUAGGCUGGUUUUCCAGGCAAAUCCGGAAAACCAAGGCUGAGGCGUGAUGACGAGGCACUACGGUGCUGAAGCGACAAAUGCCCUGCUUCCAGGAAAAGCCUCUAAGCAUCAGGUAACAUCAAAUCGUACCCCAAACCGACACAGGUGGUCAGGUAGAGAAUACCAAGGCGCUUGAGAGAACUCGGGUGAAGGAACUAGGCAAAAUGGUGCCGUAACUUCGGGAGAAGGCACGCUGAUAUGUAGGUGAAGCGACUUGCUCGUGGAGCUGAAAUCAGUCGAAGAUACCAGCUGGCUGCAACUGUUUAUUAAAAACACAGCACUGUGCAAACACGAAAGUGGACGUAUACGGUGUGACGCCUGCCCGGUGCCGGAAGGUUAAUUGAUGGGGUUAGCGGUAACGCGAAGCUCUUGAUCGAAGCCCCGGUAAACGGCGGCCGUAACUAUAACGGUCCUAAGGUAGCGAAAUUCCUUGUCGGGUAAGUUCCGACCUGCACGAAUGGCGUAAUGAUGGCCAGGCUGUCUCCACCCGAGACUCAGUGAAAUUGAACUCGCUGUGAAGAUGCAGUGUACCCGCGGCAAGACGGAAAGACCCCGUGAACCUUUACUAUAGCUUGACACUGAACAUUGAGCCUUGAUGUGUAGGAUAGGUGGGAGGCUUUGAAGUGUGGACGCCAGUCUGCAUGGAGCCGACCUUGAAAUACCACCCUUUAAUGUUUGAUGUUCUAACGUUGGCCCGUAAUCCGGGUUGCGGACAGUGUCUGGUGGGUAGUUUGACUGGGGCGGUCUCCUCCUAAAGAGUAACGGAGGAGCACGAAGGUUGGCUAAUCCUGGUCGGACAUCAGGAGGUUAGUGCAAUGGCAUAAGCCAGCUUGACUGCGAGCGUGACGGCGCGAGCAGGUGCGAAAGCAGGUCAUAGUGAUCCGGUGGUUCUGAAUGGAAGGGCCAUCGCUCAACGGAUAAAAGGUACUCCGGGGAUAACAGGCUGAUACCGCCCAAGAGUUCAUAUCGACGGCGGUGUUUGGCACCUCGAUGUCGGCUCAUCACAUCCUGGGGCUGAAGUAGGUCCCAAGGGUAUGGCUGUUCGCCAUUUAAAGUGGUACGCGAGCUGGGUUUAGAACGUCGUGAGACAGUUCGGUCCCUAUCUGCCGUGGGCGCUGGAGAACUGAGGGGGGCUGCUCCUAGUACGAGAGGACCGGAGUGGACGCAUCACUGGUGUUUGGGUUGUCAUGCCAAUGGCACUGCCCGGUAGCUAAAUGCGGAAGAGAUAAGUGCUGAAAGCAUCUAAGCACGAAACUUGCCCCGAGAUGAGUUCUCCCUGAGACUUAGAGUCUCCUGAAGGAACGUUGAAGACGACGACGUUGAUAGGCCGGGUGUGUAAGCGCAGCGAUGCGUUGAGCUAACCGGUACUAAUGAACCGUGAGGCUUAACCUU